GAUAGACUCGUGUUAAUAUGUGAAAGGGAAGAGCUGAUCAUUAGCGUGCAGACGGGAUUCAGAUAACAUCUGGCGGGUUUUCUCCGUUUUCAUGUGAAAGCUUUCACGUUUUUGCUGGUAAACCGGAGGUUUUAACUUUUAGUCUUGGUAGCAGUGACGAUAAGGAUACGUUCCCUUCUCUCCACCCCGCCCCCGCCCCUUUUCCUCCUUUAUUCAUCAGCUUUGCCGUUUGGGAGCCUGCGUGCUUUUAGCAGUAGUUUAACUCGUCUCUUGUCACUGAAGCUUUCUCCCCCAGCAGAGGUGGGAGCUAACUCCCUCUGGUUCCAGGUUACCAAGACGACUCCUUUUGUUUUUGGCUUACUGUUGCAUUUGUAUCUUUCCGAACAUUUUAACUUACACUAGGGAUAGGUAUUCCCUGAUUGUUCUUAAUGAAGGACUUUAAAAAAAUUCUAAUUUUAAAACUUCCUAAGAGUUUAUUGGUUUGUCAUGUCUGCACGGAUCCUGUUAGGCAUAACUCUUAAAAUUUAGAGCUUUAAAAUAAGAUCCACAAUUGUAUUGUUAAGACAUGGUCGUGGAGCUUGCUCUUCGAGUUUUGGCUGUACAGUUGUCAUUGUUUAAAUCAAGUGCAAAAGAGGUUAUUCCUGUUUAUUUAGUGUAAUAACUGUUUACAGUUAAAACUUUAAAGACUCAUAAAAGGAGAUCUGCUGUAUUUUAAAGAUCUCAUCAUUCUUGUGGGAGAGACACAACACUGACGCUAGGAAAGGCAACAGAUUGCUUCUGUCAUAUCGCUUUGCAGUUUUGGAGUGUACUUAAAGGAUUAUGAUUGAUAAGGCUGUCUUGCCAGAGAAUGUUGACACAGGUGUGCAUCGUUAUCUUAAUUAAGAUCUUGAGAAAAUGUUGUCUAUAAAAUGGUGACAUAAGAAGGGCGGCAUAUUUCUGUACAGUUUUGCUUUUGGAGAAUUUAAUUGCAUAGAAACCUGUCUUUGAGCUUCCAGCACUCUGGCAGCAGAAGUUUUAGACAGAAAUGAUAGUUCAAUGUUAAGUGUUCUGGCAUGUAUUAAUACUACUUGUGGCUUUUUGGCAAUGCCUUUGUCGACUUCUUUUGUGCUUCCAUCUUUGUGGAGUAAUGGUUCCUGAUUUAGAAAGAAAAGCAUAAAUAGCAUAGUAUAUUAUUAAGCAAACGUUUAUUAGUGUUCAGUAAAAAUAUGUAGAGGAAGGCGUGCUUAAUGUGCAGAAACAGGAUUGUAAUGAAAAGGUUUUAAGUAUGAUGUUUCCGUAAUACAUUUGGAUGUUUUUAGCUAAGCUCACUUCUGAACCAUGGGGUUCCUCCAAAUGUUGACUGAAAUUUGUCCUUGUGCAUCCCCAGGCUCAUCUGCAAAAUCUACAGUCCAUAAUGGAGCUACUGUACUGGCUAUUGGAAGAAGGAGAUUCUGAAGAUAGGGAGUUCAUCAAGAAGCCAAAGAUCUUAUGCCUGACUAAGAAUCUCCAUAUCUAACUUGAUUCAGCUGUCAGUCUGAAAUUUCCUGUGGUCUGUUCAGUUUAGAUGCAAAGGCCAUGGAAAAAUCAAGUGCUCAAGUGGUUUAAAUAUGUUUUGGAUGUUCUUAUUUAUAGAUUACAGUAUUUUUCCACUUAAAGUCCACAGUUGUCAUGCAGAAGAAGGUUAUGCCCUUCUAGAUCACCAAUUUUAUUUGACAUGCUUAGCGUUGUAAUGUAUUACCAAGUGCUAUCUGUUUUAAUCAAAGUAUAGAAAAAAUAAAAUCAAUUUUAUAUGUUGA